UCAAGGUCAUACUAUUUUCAAGACACCUGAUCUCAUCUGACCUCAGAGGCUAAGCAGGGUGGGGCCUGGUUCAUACUUGAA
ensembl:rRNA 5S_rRNA 5S ribosomal RNA